rnacentral:rRNA from 1 species
GUCUACAGCCAUGAUCGGAACAAACCCGAUCCCCUCUAAUCUCGGAAGCUAAGCAGGGUCCUGUGUGGUUAGUACUUGGAUGGAAGACCACCUAGGAAGACCAGGUGUUGUAGGUG